GAGGCCAACUGCUCUACAUGAUCGAAACAGAGAUAGUGAUGAUGAUGAUUACCAAGAUAGGGAUUAUGAUGUUGUAGCCUUAGCGAAUAACUUAAGCCAGACAUUUAGAUAUGGCAUUUAUAGUAAUGAUGAUAUAGAUCAGGUACAUGACUCACUUGAAAGAGAUGAUGAGGAUGUUUACUUUGAUGAUAAAUCUGCUGAGGUUGUAAUAUCUUCUCUGCGACUAGGAGAUGACCAAGAAAGGUAGGUUGAAAUAUUUUUUAUUUUUUGGAAUGUAACUUGUUGGAAUUAGAAUUUAUUCACUUUGUUAGCCAUUUUGAAUCUUUUAUCAAGUUGAUUUAAUUUCUUGACCUGAUUGGCGGGCAUUUAUUUGUUGUCUGCAGUGGUUCUCUUUUCACAAAUUCCAACUGGUUUGUGUUUGAAGAUGAUAGAGUUUCCAAUGAA